rnacentral:rRNA from 1 species
CGGCGCCCUGGUGAGAAAAGCUUAGGAAUCUGCGAAAAGGAGGGACAACAUCUCGAAAGGGAUGCUAAUACCGCAUACGUCCUACGGGAGAAAGCAGGGGUCUUUCAGACCUUGCGCUAAUAGAUGAGCCUAAGUCGGAUUAGCUAGUUGGUGGGGUAAAGGCCUACCAAGGCGACGAUCUGUAGCGGGUCUGAGAGGAUGAUCUGCAACACUGGAUUGAAACAUGGCCCAGAAUCCUAUUUGAGAAGAAUGGGUUAUUUUGAACAUGGGCGUUGCUUGAUCCAGCUUGGCGCGACCCA